rnacentral:rRNA from 1 species
GGCCUAACACAUGCAAGUCGAGCGGAAACGACACUAACAAUCCUUCGGGUGCGUUAAUGGGCGUCGAGCGGCGGACGGGUGAGUAAUGCCUAGGAAAUUGCCUUGAUGUGGGGGAUAACCAUUGGAAACGAUGGCUAAUACCGCAUAAUGCCUACGGGCCAAAGAGGGGGACCUUCGGGCCUCUCGCGUCAAGAUAUGCCUAGGUGGGAUUAGCUAGUUGGUGAGGUAAUGGCUCACCAAGGCGACGAUCCCUAGCUGGUCUGAGAGGAUGAUCAGCCACACUGGAACUGAGACACGGUCCAGACUCCUACGGGAGGCAGCAGUGGGGAAUAUUGCACAAUGGGCGAAAGCCUGAUGCAGCCAUGCCGCGUGUAUGAAGAAGGCCUUCGGGUUGUAAAGUACUUUCAGUUGUGAGGAAGGGGGUAACGUUAAUAGCUCUAUCUCUUGACGUUAGCAACAGAAGAAGCACCGGCUAACUCCGUGCCAGCAGCCGCGGUAAUACGGAGGGUGCGAGCGUUAAUCGGAAUUACUGGGCGUAAAGCGCAUGCAAGUGGUUCAUUAAGUCAGAUGUGAAAGCCCGGGGCUCAACCUCGGAACUGCAUUUGAAACUGGUGAACUAGAGUACUGUAGAGGGGGGUAGAAUUUCAG